rnacentral:rRNA from 1 species
AUACGGAGGAUCCGAAGCGUUAUCCGGAUUUAUUGGGUUUAAAGGGUGCGUAGGCGGUCCUAUAAGUCAGUGGUGAAAGACGGCAGCUUAACUGUCGCAGUGCCUUUGAUACUGUAGGACUUGAAUCUAUUUGAAGUGGGCGGAAUAAGACAAGUAGCGGUGAAAUGCAUAGAUAUGUCUUAGAACUCCGAUUGCGAAGGCAGCUCACUAAGUUAGUAUUGACGCUGAUGCACGAAAGCGUGGGGAUC